rnacentral:misc_RNA from 1 species
CUCUUCGCUGUCGUCUUCACUGCACCACCCUUCCACGUCAUCAGACGGUGCCACAGAGGAUUGUGUUGCAGCCGAAGUGGCCCUCCCCCCGCUGCUGCUGCCUUGCGUGUCCCGCCUUGUUGUCGGGAUUGCAUCUGCGUGCCUGUUUCUGGAUACUCACACGUGCAAGCACACAUAGCGGGACACGCGCCGAUCUGAGAGCGGCCAUCCUCUUCGGGCUCCUGCCGCAUCUUUCCUUUCAGCUCGACUGCCCACACAUCAUCGUGUUGUGAGACGACGUCAGCACACCCCUCCCUCUCCAUCUUCCUGCACCCUCCGCCACAAUGAGCACGACGACGACGACGCAGUACACACGAUCUGGGAUACUCGCGUGGGCGAACGACGUGCUAGAGACGUCGUACGCCACCUUCCAGAACAUACCGAGCUAUGAGGUGGGCCUCUUGCUCUAUGGCAUCUUCCACGACUGCCCCUCCAGAGGCGAAACGACGGCGAACGGCCUCGGCGACACUACUGCCGCCGCUGCCGCAACGACGACGAGCAGCGCUAGUGUGCCGUUGCUUUCCGCGGCGGAGCUACACAGGCACCACCAGCGGCACCACGAGACGUGCAUGCGCUACCUUCAGCUUCUUCAGUUUCCACCGACGCCUCCCUCCACGGCGCCAGCCAAUCCUGCGGCUGCUGCGCCAUCGGGGGCGGCGGAGGCCUCCGCUCCGCGCCCUGGCGGCAGCGCGCCCGCUUCACCUUUGCCGCCUCUCCCAGAUGGGCACGGCGGUGCCGCGUCUGCGGUGGCGCGGCAGCGCAACGCCGAGCACGUUCUCGCGAUGGUCCGUACGCUCAGCGCCGAGGAGGCAGAGCUCUCGCGCGCCGAGGCCAGCGACACACUAACGAGUGGUGGUGGUCACGCCGCCUCUGUCGUACUGCUGCUCGGGCCGUCGAUGACGCCAGCAGCGUGGCUGGGCGGUAGCGCCUUUGUGGAGGAACUGAAGCUAUGGCGUUGGGUGCGGCUGAUGGCGGAGCGGCACCGCAGUUCGGCCCGCGCCAUUCGACGCGCCAUCCGUGCCUACCUUCAGCACGAGGUAGGCGUCGCCGCGGUGGCGCGAGCGCCCACGAAGGAUUCACAGACGAGUUCGGCGAGCUGUGCCCAGUCGCGGGGCGCGUCGCCAGCGCCACACUCACCAGUAGUCAUGAUGGAGAUGAGCGACGUGGCUGAGGUGGAGCUAGGCGACGCGCGCGGCGGUCUUCUCCCUGGCAAGAGCACGCGAACGUUCGCAGAAGAUGCGUCGGGCGACACCUUGUCGCAGGAGAUGAAGCGCAUGCGGCCGGAGACGCUGCCGUCGACCUCACCGGUGCCUGUCCAUGCAGCGGCAGCGGUAGCCACAACAAGGCCGGCGACGUCGAGUGUUACGCCGCUCGUCGGCUCUGUGUCACCCGUGCACGCGCUUUUAUCCCCCAUCAAGGAAGUAGCAGCAGCUGGCAGCGCACGCACAGACGAUUGCAGCGCGACCGGCCUCAGCUGGACGACGUCAAGCAGCAGUGUACACGCCGCCUCUGUGGCAACCAUCACUCCUUACGUUGCACAGGCAACAGAGUUACAGGCGGCGCUUCGCACGGCCCAGGCGGCUCUCCAGAAGGAGCUAGCGCUGCACCGAGCACAGCAGCAACAGCGUCCUCUCACGCUGCCGACGACGACGUCCGGGAGUACAUCGGAGCGCUCCUCUGGCGGCGACGUGCCCGAUGGCGCCGGUGCGAUGCACAAGGUGGCUCCGCUGCUGGCGCCAGCGACGAACGUGUGCGAUGCGCUGGAGGCGUCGUGCCGUCAGCGUAUGGUGAACACCGUGUGUGCCAAGACCCUCGGUGACCGAGGUGGCUCAUCACUGCUGUCGCCCGUCCCCGAUACGCUAACGUGCAAUGUGUGUCCGUCCAUCAUGGCCCACGCGAUCCAGUGCAAUCUCGCUGCCAUUGACGACUUGGAAGACGUCCGCGCUCGUGCGAUCGCGGCAUGCCUCAGAAGGGAUUCCGUGGCGUUGCUCGCCGCGCUUCAGAACAUUGUGUGAGUGUAUUGGUGGAAAGGAGGGGGAAGGGCACCAUAACGGGAGCUGUCAUGGUGGCCUCUGUGAGCACGCGGCCUGCCAAGUCCUCGGGAGCUGUCGGAAGCCACACCGAUGCCGGCGCGCAUUCCUCGCUUGUCACGGUCUCUCGUGAUUCCGCGCUUCCCUCUUCCUGGUCGUCGUCCUGCUGCUGCUGCUGGUGCUGCUGUGAUGUGACAGAGCCAGUAUGCCCGCCCCCUUCAAACGGACUCCAAUAUAGACGCGUGCACAUGAACACAUGCACGCAGACACACGCACCGAAAGCGGGCGAGGAGGACACCCGCACUUCCAUCCUCCCCAUGCGAACAUCCGUUGUCGGGUCUACCAUUCGGCUGUGUUUCCCUUCGUUGGAGGCUGCGCCAGACGCCCCCCCCCCUCCCUUUACGUGUCUCUCGCUUAGAUAUCGUUGUCAAGCAUUUGCUCACGCGCUCUAUGCAACGGCCCUCUGCCCCUCUCCCACCUCCCUCCCUACUUUCCCGUGGCAGGAAGCGUGCGUGCGUGCGUGCGCCCUUCAAGCACGCUUACAUCGAAGGGCACACGCACGCACAGACAUCAUCGCAUACAUCUCACAACGGGCAUGCGGAGGGAGGGAAGGAGGGGGAGGGCAAGGAAG